GCUCUGUGAGAGCCUCCUGGCCUCCACGGAAUCCGGCACCGCGCCGCGCUCUGAGAACACGUUUAUACAAUCCAGAAAUGUGGGCCAGAGCUCAGAAACAUGGAGCAGGCCUGGGAGGAUCUUGAGGGGGCAGCUCUUAGUUCUUGCAUGAUGAGAAUAUCCCCACUUUUACUCUCUGGCCCUCCCCGACUCCAAUCCAGAAUGCAUUUCCUUGCCUCCGGUAGGCAGGCACGCUGGCACGGUACAGUUCCGCGGAAGGAGGCCUUCUUCCUAAAAUGGGAGAGCUGCAGGGUUUCAGCUGGGGAAAGGCAAGCUUGGAUUGGAAAACCAGAAUCCCAGAAAGUUUUGGAAAAAGCUACUGAAUGUUUCCUGCUAAGAAUUAUUAUACAGCCACUGUUUGGACACAAGGAAUCUGACUCUAGAACCCACUUAAUGGGUCACUUUAACUUCCUUCAGCUCUCUGUAGUAUUAUUUUUUUAUUCUUCUUUGUAUUCAAUUAGACUUCAUCAAAUAAGACUCAGUGGUUUUGAGUGGGGAGGUGGGGUAAUGGUAAGGGAGUGACUGGGCCGAUGUUUAGAGCAAAGUAGAACUGGGAGCAAGAAAGACCUGGGAAAUUACUAGUUGCCUACCUCCAAUAUCCAUUUUCCCCUCCUGCUCACUAAUGGAGUCACCAUAUAACCAUGUACCCAGCUAAAAAGAUAACAUUUCUGUUUCCUUUUCAGACACAUGUGUCGUAUGAUUAUUUUUUGGUCAGUAAGAUUUAUACAAAAUGAUCCUUAUAAGCACAGGGACAUGCCCAAUUCAUACCCUCUCCUUCCUACUACUUAGGAUUUGGAUAAAAUAGUGUGAGCUCCAUGGUUAUUAUGGGCCAUCUGAUGACCCUAACGAUGGAAGCCAUAUACUGAGGAUAGGUGGAACAGAAAAACAGGAACCUAGUGCUCUUAUGACACUAUCAAAUGGUCAAAUCAGUCCUAGAAGGCUUACUUCAUUUGCAUGAGCAGGAAAUAAACUAUUAUUUUGUUUAAGCCAGUAUUACUUUAGGAUUUUCCAUUACAUGUAACAAGGGAUUGCCCUGUUGGUCAUGAUUGUAUUGGGUUUUUUUAUUGCCCAAAAGUGUCUGGGGAAUAUGAAGGAUGGGGCCUGAAAUCCAGCCUGUACUCCCUCACCAAACCAUGAAUCCUAAGAUGGAGCUGAGUGCAUUUGGAUAAAGGGGACACCAUUUUCUAACUCAUCCGAACGACUAGUCUUCUCCAAGAAACCAUGACCCUAUCUAGGGGGAACACCUUUUGCUGACCCACACAAAAGCACUAUAUGGCUAGCUGUGGCUUCAUUCUAACUGAUUCAAGUCCAGAAAAGUGAGGUAUGCAAUGGCAAGGGGGUUAUAGGGGAUAUCUGGAAGAGACAUCUUUUAGAGAAAUAAUAACUACCAGGAUUAAUUUGCAGGACUUGUAUUUUUUCUGGUAUUCCCAGAAAUAACUUGGGGAAAGGGAAUCCAAAAGAAAACUGGCCUUCCUACAAUCACUAAGAUAAGGGCCAAGGAUUAAUUUCUGAAAGGGAGUAUGACUUUACUUUUUAAUCAUGGACAAUUGUGCAUUCAUUGCCUCAUGUAAUCCUCCAAACUACUGUAUAGUUGUCAACGUCCCAGUUUUACAGAAGAGAAAACAAACUGAGGGUAAAGAAGUUGUCCAAGAACACGGCUAAUAAAAGGCAAAGCCAGAACUCUAACCUAGAUCUGUCUAGCUCCCAGACCUGUGCACGUAACCACCACUCUGUAUGUCAGCCUGGCUGCGCCUACAUUAUCACGUGUCCAGAUUAGUGAAGUCCUAAAUUUGGUGAAGGUUAAGCUUGGUAGAAACGUAAAAACACCUUACGAUAGGCCCCGCUGAUGUGUGAGAAUCCCAUUGUUUAGAAAAAGAGGUUGCCUCCCAUCUACAGUUCUGUUUCUGAGAAGGGGAGCACUCGGCAGACGUGUGAAGCAGCCAGGAUUCCCACUCAGCAUGACACAGCCCGCCCAGCGUGAAGAAGCCAGACCCCGAACCCUCUGUGGAAAAGGGCAUAAGAAAGCCGAGGCAGAGAGACUAAGUAACCUAUUCAAGGCCGUAAACAUUUGAACCAGACCCGUCGCAUCCGAGCACUCAAGUUUUGGAACCCAAACAUAUGCUCCCAGAUGCUUUGUCUAGAUUUGUUCAGCAGAUGGGGGGAGGGAGGUGUCAGGGUGUCCUGCUGGGGCAUGUGUUAGGGAAAAGACUAAAAUCGUAGGAGGACCUUCUGUGGCACAACGUUCUGUGUACUUCAGCCAACGAGAGCAUCAUUUCCAUGAUGCACUGUCUUAGUACAGUAGUUUAAAGACUGCACAUUCUCUUUGUAACAACCUAAUAAUAAACUAUAGCAUAUUUUUUCAUAGACCGAAGUGAUAAAAUUAUAAGCUCAUGAAUGAUCACAACCAACUUGUAGAUUCCUACUGAGCAAGGCAUC